ACGUAGGGUGCGAGCGUUAAUCGGAAUUACUGGGCGUAAAGCGUGCGCAGGCGGUCUUGCAAGUCAGAUGUGAAAGCCCCGGGCUUAACCUGGGAAUUGCGUUUGAAACUACAAGACUAGAGUGCAGCAGAGGGGAGUGGAAUUCCAUGUGUAGCAGUGAAAUGCGUAGAGAUGUGGAAGAACACCGAUGGCGAAGGCAGGUCCCUGGGUUAACACUGACGCUCAUGCACGAAAGCGUGGGGAGCAAACAGG
rnacentral:rRNA from 1 species